AUAGUGCUACUGACGUACUUACAGAAAGCACGGCUACUACGUGCCAGCAGCGCGUAAUACGUAGGUGGCAAGCGUGUCCGGAAUAUUGGGCGUAAAGCGCGCGCAGGCGGUUUCUAAGUCUGAUGUGAAAGCCCCACGGCUCAACCGUGGAGGGUCAUUGGAAACUGGGAGACUUGAGUGCAGAAGAGGAGAGUGGAAUUCCAUGUGUAGCGGUGAAAUGCGUAGAGAUAUGGAGGAACACCAGUGGCGAGGGCGACUUUCUGGUCUGUAACUGACACUGAGGCGCGAAAGCGUGGGGAGCAAACAGGAUUAGAUACCCUGGUAGUCCACGCCGUAAACGAUGAGUGUUAAGUGUUGGAGGGUUUCCGCCCUUUAGUGCUGAAGUAAACGCAUUAAGCACUCCGCCUGGGGAGUACGCCCGCAAGGUUGAAACUCAAAGGAAUUGACGGGGGCCCGCACAAGCGGUGGAGCAUGUGGUUUAAUUGGAAGCAACGGGAAGACCCUUACCAGUUCUUGACAUCUUUUGACAACCUUAGAGAUAGGGUUUCCCCUUCGGGGGCAAAGUGACAGGUGGUGCAUGGUUUUCGUCAGUUCGUGUCGUGAGAUGUUGGGUUAAGUCCCGCAACGAGCGCAACCCUUGUUUUUAGUUGCCAUCAUUUAGUUGGGCAUUUUAAGGGGACUGCCGGUGACAAACCGGAGGAAGGUGGGGAUGACGUCAAAUCAUCAUGCCCCUUAUGCCCUGGGUUACACACGUGUUCCAAUGGAAGGUACAAAGAGUUGCAAGGCCGGGAGGUGAAGUUAAUUUCUUAAACCUUUUUUCAGUUCGGAUUGUAGGCUGCAAUUCGCUUACAUGAAGCGGGAAUCGUUAGUAAUCGCGGAUCAGCAUGCCGCGGUGAAUACGUUCCCGGCCCUUGUCCACACCGCCCGUCACACCACGAGAGUUGUACCACCCGAAGUCGGUGGGGUAACCUUUGGAGCCAGCCGCGUAAGGGAACUGAUU
rnacentral:rRNA from 1 species